AGAGCGAACGUUAGCGGCAGGCCUAACACAUGCAAGUCGCGCGAGAACGGUCCCUUCGGGGACCCAGUAAAGCGGCGCACGGGUGAGUAACACGUGGGUAAUCUGCCCUCUGGCGGGGGACAACCAUCCGAAAGGAUGGCUAAUACCGCGUACGUCCAUCGGGAUCGCGGUCCCGAUGGGGAAAGCUGGCCUCUAUUUAUAAGCUAGCGCCGGAGGAGGAGCCCGCGUCGCAUCAGCUGGUUGGUGAGGUAAAGGCUCACCAAGGCUAAGACGCGUAGCUGGUCUGAGAGGAUGAUCAGCCACACUGGGACUGAGACACGGCCCAGACUCCUACGGGAGGCAGCAGUGGGGAAUAUUGGACAAUGGGCGAAAGCCUGAUCAGCCAUGCCGCGUGAGUGAUGAAGGCCC
rnacentral:rRNA from 1 species